rnacentral:rRNA from 1 species
GGAAUAUUGGUCAAUGGGCGAGAGCCUGAACCAGCCAAGUAGCGUGCAGGAUGACGGCCCUAUGGGUUGUAAACUGCUUUUAUAUAGGGAUAAAGUCGGGGACGUGUCCCCGUUUGUAGGUACUAUAUGAAUAAGGACCGGCUAAUUCCGUGCCAGCAGCCGCGGUAAUACGGAAGGUCCGGGCGUUAUCCGGAUUUAUUGGGUUUAAAGGGAGCGCAGGCGGGUGCUUAAGCGUGCUGUGAAAUGUACCGGCUCAACCGGUGACGUGCAGCGCGAACUGGGGGCCUUGAGUGAGUGCGAGGUAUGCGGAAUUCGUGGUGUAGCGGUGAAAUGCUUAGAUAUCACGAGGAACCCCGAUUGCGAAGGCAGCUGACGAGGCCUUUACUGACGCUAAAGCUCGAAGGUGCGGGUAUCGAACA